GUACAUGAUGAAUUGGGUGUUAUGAUAUUGAUAGUGGUUGUGUUUGUGGUUAAUUUUCCAGGAGCUUAACUUGGGGAGGAAAAGGAUAAAAUCACUUCAGCAUGAACUUUUGUGGAGGAAAGGGAAGGAUUUGAGUGUCCAAAUGAGGGAGCUGUUGUGAAAUUUGGGAAGGUUAGCUAGUGGUUCCUCCUAACUCCACUGUAAUUAUGAGCUUGAGCUAGUGCCAUUUGAGAAGGAUAUGGAAAAUGGAGGAUGCUAUAGAUGGUGGUGCACCUUUGGAUUAUGCUUCAAAACAUGUUAGCUCUGAAACAGUGUCGAGUUAGAGUUGACUUCAUAUGAGGUUUUCUGUAGUAGUGUACCUUAGAUACAUGAAAAUUGUAGUGCUUUUGUAGUAGAAAGACAUUGUUUGCAGAACUGUUGCACUGACAAAUUACUCAUGUGUCUCUGUUUUUUAUUUUUUUGACUUUACAUUGUAUACUCUAGUCAUUUUAAUAUGUAAGUACAAGGUAAUCUUUGUGAUAUUGUAGCUGCUAAGUACCUUUUGCCUUGUGAUAUAGCUGGUAGUCAUUAUAUAUAUAUUGGUUUUGAUAUGCAGAAGUUUCAAUAUGCUGUGUUUAGUAACUUUUGG